UACGUAGGGGGCAAGCGUUGGUCCGGAAUCAUUGGGCGUAAAGCGCGUGUAGGCGGCUUGGUAAGUCCGCUCUGAAAGCCCGGGGCUUCAACCCCGGGAGGCGGGUGGAUACUGUCAAGCUCGAGUCCGGAAGAGGAGAGCGGAAUUCCUGGUGUAGCGGUGGAAUGCGCGAUAUCAGGAGGAACACCCGUGGCGAAGGCGGACAUCUCUGGGAGCGGUACUGC
rnacentral:rRNA from 1 species